GGUCGUCCUCAUACCUCGUCCAGUAUGAGCGCAAAAAAUGACAUCCUUUAAUACCUCGUCCAGUAUGAGGGUGAAUCAGGUCAUCUCCAUACUUUGUCCAGUAUAAAGUGUCAAAAGUACCAUCCCUCAAUACCCCGUUCGGUAUGAGGUAUGUUCACAGUAGAAUUCCCUAUAUACCUAAUCCGUCCACCAUCUCUCAUGAUAUCCAGUAAGACAACAAUUUAUUAAUUCAUAUGAUCAAGCAAUUUUCUAUUUGUAUAUUAAUUUCACAUUUCACAAAU
rnacentral:lncRNA from 1 species